CGUGACCUAACGACCUCCCACUAGGCCCGCCCCCCUGGUGCGGCAGCUGGGCAAAUCGCCACCCUCCCAGCGCCAUUAACUGGAUAUGAACACUUUGAGAGUCUCAGUCCACACUGUCCCAGGAAAAGUGUAAGGGUCUUCCGCCGAGGGCCUGUUGGUGGCUGAGCUGGGACCCAGAGGCCUGGCGCAGGGCCGGAGCGCAGAGCCCGGGCAGCCGCCUGCCUGCCCACGGCCUCGCGCCUCCAUGCGGGCAAGACACGGUGGAGGCAGCCCCUUUUCCAGUGGCAGCUUCUGGCCCAGUGAUGGAUGACCUGUUGGCGCUCCUGAAUGGCGCCCUUUGUUCAGGAGAUCCCAUGUGCCCCCUUUUUAUUGAGUUGUUGACUCAGAGGGGCAGGAAAGUUCCACAAAUCCAACGGCAGGCCCGGCUCUCGCCAUGCCCAGGUGGGGAAGUCGGGGACCUCAUGCUUCCCAGAAGGUGGGUAGGAAGCUGUGGGGCUCCCUCAAGGCAAAAUACCCCGUAAGAAGCAGACUUUCUGUACCCGGGGCUGAGCCAACUGUGUGUCUGGAGAGAGCCGAGGGAACAUAGGUCUUGCCCUCAGCCUCCUCCCUGGCUUCUAGAAGAUACAGGGUACCCCAGAUGUGCAGUAUCCACCCGGAAAGAAAGAAAGAAACAGAGCUGGGGUGAGUUAGAGCUCUCUUCCCUGCCCCAAGCCAGGCUCCGGUGAGCAUCCGGCCAACAGCUAACAGAGGAAGGAGUGUGACCUUGUGUUCCGUAGGAAGCAGUCCAGUGAAGGGCCCUGCGGAAACGGGGGACAAAGCUGACCUUUUAUCCAGCAAGAAAUCGCAUGUUAGUCCUGCUGAGGACAGAUUUAAAGGGUGCUCCUGGCCUUGCCUUCUCUUCUGGGUUCCCAGCCGACAGCAGAGAUGGUGGAGGUGAGCGAGCGGCUUUGGUGAAGGAGCAAAGGGACUCUGAGGGGGGAAACCCUGCAGCGCCUCCGUACACCUGCGUUAGGGUGCCACUUGGAGUUCAGCUCCUUCCCUCUCCCUGCAUCUCCUGGCCAAACCUCAGGGGACAGUGUGGAGUGAAGGCUGAGCUGCGCUCACACCUCGCACUGAGCCAGGAAGCCCCGGGCUCUGCCUCUCACCCACUUGUUGGUUCCUUUUCUGAAGCUGCCGUGCAGAUCCCACCAAGAAUCCCCUCCUCAUGAGACCGACCUCCCCAAACAGCCGUGUUGUGUGUUGACUGCUCAAAGGCAGCAGUCUUGUCCAGGGCCUGCUGGGGCCUUGGUGGACCCUGGAAUUGAGACCCCUCCCCUAAGGAGCGCCUCAGGAGCCAAGGGGCUGUCUCCACACUGACCCUAAGUGACAUGCCUCUGUGCUCAGAGGCUCAGGGGGCCCCACCUUGCACCUGAGAGAAAACAC